AACAAGGCGUACCUGCGGACCUGCGGAAGGAUCAUUACCGAGUUAUACAACUCAUCAACCCCUGUGAACUUACCUACAACGUUGCUUCGGCGGGAACAGACGGCCCCGUAAAACGGGCCGCCCCCGCCAGAGGACCCCUAACUCUGUUUUUAUAAUGUUUUUCUGAGUAAACAAGCAAAUAAAUUAAAACUUUUAACAAUGGAUCU
rnacentral:misc_RNA from 1 species